rnacentral:lncRNA from 1 species
CCUCGAUCCUACAAAUAUCUGCAUUGAUACCUCUCUCUAGCAUUUUGAGUGUAUCUACUCAUUACAAACAAUCGAAUGGGGUGACUCCAACUCCAUAACCCUCGUCUGGACAUAACAUUCCAGUCUUAGCAACUUUGUAAUCACCUGGGCCUCGACACAACUGGCCUCGUAGAUGCUAAAGAGCCAACACGCUCCACCGUAAGGGAUGAAGCUUUAUCCUAUAUUUAAGAAAAAAGUCAUAUCUUAAUAUUUGAAAAAAAUAAAACUACAGAUCAUUAUACAAAUUUAUUAUCAAUAUAUACAAAUAUAUCUUUCGACUCAUCCUUGAUAAAACUAUCAUCUCGAUGGGUAUGAGUUAUGUUGGAGGGAAAUUUAAAUUUGGAAAUCCAUAAUUUUUAAAAUAAGUUUUCCUCUAAAUGUGCUUUUCCUUUUGACUAUCUUAAUUGAGAUCUUUUAGUUCCACAUCGAGAAUGGAAAGAUUGUUUAAGCCCUUUAUAUGAGAAAAGGAUUUGCCUAAGCCCUAAGAGGUGUUUAAGGAGAUUUAAAGAAAAAUAUUUAAUAUGCGUGAACCAAAUCAAAUUGGGCCGCACAUGGCUUAGCACCCUGCCAAUCUGAAACAUUAUUUUUUAAUUUUUAUUUGACCAUGUAAAUUUUAAUUAUCAUUUUAAUUUUUUAAAUGUUGGACUUUUAAUUUUUUGAAUAUUGAGCUUUUAAUUUUGGGCUCUUUAAUUUCUAAAGGUUGGAAGUUUUAUUUUUGACCUUAAUGGGCGUCUUCUAAGUUUUUUCCUUUUAUACUUCUUCUCUAUUCUCUAAGGAUUUUUUUUUUCUAUUGCAAUAUUUUUUUUCAUCUUCCUAGGUGUUGAAAGAGUCUUCAUCAAUCUUCUCCAUAGUUAUAC